rnacentral:tRNA from 2 species
GCAGUCGUGGCCGAGUGGUUAAGGCGAUGGACUUGAAAUCCAUUGGGAUAUUCCCGCGCAGGUUCGAAUCCUGCCGACUGCG